CCUACGGGUGGCAGCAGUGGGGGAUAUUGCACAAUGGGGGAAACCCUGAUGCAGCGACGCCGCGUGUGGGAAGACGGUCCUCUGGAUUGUAAACCACGGUCCCCAGGGACGAAGAUGACGGUACCUGGCGAGGAAGCUCCGGCUAACUACGUGCCAGCAGCCGCGGUAAUACGUAGGGAGCGAGCGUUAUCCGGAAUUACUGGGUGUAAAGGGAGCGUAGGCGGGAGGGCAAGUUGGGGGUCAAAUCUCCCGGCUCAACCGGGAGCCGCACUGAAAACUGCAGUUCUUGAGUGAUGUAGAGGCAGGCGGAAUUCCUGGUGUAGCGGUGAAAUGCGUAGAUAUUAGGAGGAACACCGGUGGCGAAGGCGGCUUGCUGGGCUUUUACUGACGCUGAGGCUCGAAAGUGUGGGGAGCGAACAGGAUUAGAUACCCUAGUAGUC
rnacentral:rRNA from 1 species